GUACGGAAGGUGCAAGCGUUAUUCGGAAUCACUGGGCGUAAAGGACGCGUAGGCGGGUUUGUAAGUCAGGUGUGAAAUACUACAGCUUAACUGUAGAACUGCACUUGAAACUACAGACCUAGAGUAUGGGAGGGGCAGAUGGAAUUAGUGGUGUAGGGGUAAAAUCCGUAGAUAUCACUAGGAAUACCGAAAGCGAAGGCGAUCUGCUGGAACAUAACUGACGCUAAGGCGUGAAAGCGUGGGGAGCAAACAGGAUUAGAAACCCCUGUAGUCC
rnacentral:rRNA from 1 species